rnacentral:rRNA from 1 species
CACGUAGGGAGCAAGCGUUGUCCGGAUUUAUUGGGCGUAAAGAGCUCGUAGGCGGUUCAGUAAGUCAGGUGUGAAACCUCCAGGCUCAACCUGGAGACGCCACCUGAUACUGCUGUGACUUGAGUCCGGUAGGGGAGCGUGGAAUUCCUGGUGUAGCGGUGAAAUGCGCAGAUAAUCAGGAGGAACACCGGUGGCGAAGGCGGGUCUCUGGGCCGUAACUGACGCUGAGGAGCGAAAGCAUGGGGAGCGAACAGG